ACUUCCCUCCCUGCCUGCCACCCAGCUUUGGUCAUGGACUGAGAGCCUCCUUCACAGGGCAUGCUACCUACUGUGCUUUCAUGGGCUUGUGGAGUAUGGAUGGGUAUGUGGAGUAAGAUUUCUUUAAGCUGUCAUGAGAAUUGUCAUGGGAAGAAGUCUAUUGAUUAACACGGGAAGAAGAUAAUGAAUGGAACCCCGUUGACAUGAGAAGUAAGAAGGGCUAGAGGGGGCUCAGGAAGUGGGAGGAUUGCUCUUGACACUCCAAGUAUGACAUAGUGAAAACAUCACUAUACAGGGUCCUGGUCCCCCGGGGAACGAAUUGUGGGAUUCUGGGUAGGCCAUCUUAUCCCCAUUUAUAAGUUGUGCAAGUGGCAUUAGGUUAGUGGUUUUCAAACUAAGUCCUUAGACCAGAGGUCUCUCAUGGAAAAAUCAGUCUUGGCAGAGUCCUUCGAUAAUCAUCUCUAAUAUCAUACGUCAGCCUUCCUGUCUCCACAACCUGAGCAGAGGUUGGCAGCAGCUGUCGCAGUGUUCCACCGAAAUGCUGCCACUUUCUGAUGAUCCAGAUGAGUCUUCAGUUUCCUUGGCAACCCAAAAGACUUUACACGGUCACCUCAAUCUUCUUUGGGUGAUGUUCAACUAAAUAAAUAUCUCCGGAAGCUAAUUGUUAAGAAGUGACAAAAAUCUCUGCCGUGCUCACCAUCUAGUUCUUAAGACAGGAUGCAAAUGCCGCUUAAGACAAUCCUUUCCAAGCAGAUGAAUCAAUAAAAUAUGAAGACAAAAGUGCUCCAUCUUCUGGCUGAGGAUGAAUGUUCACCAGCAGAUAUUCCCAAUUCUAAAAGGAAGCACUUCAUCUCAGGGACCAGAUCCUGGAGAGAAUUAUUGAUGAAUCCCUCCAAUACCAUCAAGAAUAAAACAGCCUUCUCCUGGU